rnacentral:lncRNA from 1 species
AUCCCUUGGUGCCCUAUUUAUAAGGGAUGUCCCAGAUGGUAUCUUGAGAUGAUUUUUGGCUGUGACUAAGAGGAGAGAUGUGGUAAACAAAAAAAAAAUCUGAAAAAAUUUUGAGAAAAAAAAGGAGGGAAUUUUGAGCAGCAAAAGUUGCUACUAGGGUGGUGAGAUUUUCAGCAAGUGUUUCUUGAGUGCCCUAGGAUUUGGUUUUUUCAUAUAUUGAAGUCAAAAAUCAAAUACUAGAUUGUAUGACAUCUGAAGACUGUCUUCUUGGUGUCGUUCUGGUGGUG